rnacentral:rRNA from 1 species
GAUUAAGCCAUGCAUGUGUAAGUAUAAAUAGUCUACUUUGAAACUGCGAAUGGCUCAUUAUAUCAGUUAUAGUUUAUUUGAUGAAAUGUACUACUUGGAUAACCGUAGUAAUUCUAGAGCUAAUACAUGAUCAAUUCCUCGACUUUGAAGAGGUGUAUUUAUUAGAAUGAAAACCAAUAGACUCUGUCUGUUUGUGAGUAAUAAUAACUUGUCAUAUCGCAUGCUUAGGUAGCGAUGUGUCUUUUAAGUUUCUGCCCUAUCAGCUUUCGAUGGUAGUGUAUUGGACUACCAUG